rnacentral:rRNA from 1 species
GACGGAGGAUGCAAGCGUUAUCCGGAAUGAUUGGGCGUAAAGCGUCUGCAGGUGGCAGUUCAAGUCUGCUGUCAAAGACUGGGGCUUAACCCUGGAAAGGCCGUGGAAACUGACGAGCUAGAGUGCAGUAGGGGUAGAGGGAAUUCCCGGUGUAGCGGUGAAAUGCGUAGAGCUCGGGAAGAACAUCGGUGGCGAAAGCGCUCUACUGGACUGCAACUGACACUCAGGGACGAAAGCUAGGGGAGCGAAUGGG